rnacentral:rRNA from 1 species
UCCGUAGGUGAACCUGCGGAAGGAUCAUUAUUGA